UCUCUGGAGAGCGCGAAAGCCACCCACGGGGAAGACUCGUCAUGAGUUAAACUCUCAGGUAAAAAGGACUGAGA
rnacentral:ncRNA from 1 species